AACAUGAGAAUGACAAAUCGGAUUUUUCUUCCUGAUUUUCAAUUUUUUUCUCCUGAAAAAAUUCAAAUCCAACUAAAUAUGCUAAAAAUCAGGAGAAAAAAUUUGAUUUGUUAUUCUCCUAUU
rfam:Gossypium raimondii Chr05_contig_227, whole genome shotgun sequence.